AAGAACACCUGCACUUGGCUGACUUUCUCUUUUCCUAAAGAUACAGGAUCAGUCUCAGGGAUUGAACCUGGCAGCCCUAAUAGGUUGUCAUGCCCACAGCUAAAAGUCUGGAAGGUUUGAAGACAAUUGCGGUGACCACUGAGCUUUCUCAAACUGCUUCAGACUUCUCUACUGAAGAUUGUGGGUAGAGGUACAGCUGAGAAUGCAAGAUAGUGGCUUGUCCCAGAAGGCUCCUGUCUCUUGGUCUACGCUCCUGUUGGUGAUUGUGCACCCUACUUUACAGAAGAUACUCCUUGCUUUGCAGAAGUUCUCUGUUUGAAGGGCUGCUGGGUCCAAGUCCAAUUUAAAGGUGAAGAACUCCGAGAAGACAAGGAGCUGGAAGUUGCUUGUUAACUAGUUAGCUCCUGGACAGCAGCCCCAGCAGGCACACAGCCAUCUGCUUAGUCUUUCUCCAGUAGAAUGAAGCCAGCACAAGGGAUUCUUGCUACUGCAGUGGAACCCCACCACCACCCAAACAUCUGCUGCAGAGAAGCCCCAGAACGGCAUGCAGCUAGAAAAGAGGGAAUACACCACCAGGCAAGCAGAAAUGCUUGUGCUGACAGAACUAUCUCCUUAGAGCUACACUGAAUACAACCCAUCAUUUGUAAUGUUUGCAUCUACACAAAUAAACAUAAGCACAUUUUGUGUAAAUCAUGCAUCACCAAAAGAAGAUACAAAGUAGCCAUUCUACCAAUCACAUGCCUUUCCGCAGAG